rnacentral:rRNA from 1 species
UGCCCAUGAGAUCGGGAUAACACCUGGAAACAGAUGCUAAUACCGGAUAACAACAGAUGAUGCCUAUCAACUGUUUAAAAGAUGGUUCUGCUAUCACUCUUGGAUGGACCUGCGGUGCAUUAGCUAGUUGGUAGGGUAACGGCCUACCAAGGCGAUGAUGCAUAGCCGAGUUGAGAGACUGAUCGGCCACAUUGGGACUGAGACACGGCCCAAACUCCUACGGGAGGCAGCAGAA